GCCGGGCAUGGUGGUGCGUGCCUGUAAUCCCAGCUACUCAUGAGGCUGAGGCAGGAGAAUCACUUGAACCCAGGAGGUGGAGGUUGCGGUGAGCUGAGAUCACACCACUGCACUCCAGCCUGGGUGACAGAGUGAGACUCUGUCUCAA
rnacentral:SRP_RNA from 2 species